CCUGUUCUGUCUGUGUUCUGCUCUGCUUUGUUUGCAACCUUUGCCUGUGAGUUAGAUUUGCAAAGUGCUGUAUAAAUAUAGAGCUAUAUUAAAAAAUCUUGUAGUCUUCUGUUCUUGAGAUAGAAAUACAUGUUGCUGAAGAUAUUUAUAAUCACUGAUCUGUAAUAUGUUAAUCUUUCCAUUUGCCUGUUACUAGCAACAAGCUGGGCAUUUUAUUAUAGUGCAGGCACACCUGAAAGCUGUCUUUAUCCCAGUUAAAAGCUGCUGUGAUUGCAGUUGUGUGCUCUGACAGUGGCAGGACGAUGGGAUGCUCUCUUGCUGCCCAGAGGAGUUGGAAAGGUAUGACUAACCACGGGGGUGUCCGGGGAGGAGGCAAUAAACAAACUUCAGCAUAGAUCCAGGCUGCAGUGGUGGUGUUCUGGCCACCACAAGCCAUCACAGGCGCUGGUGACAGCACAGUUAUCUCAACAGGCUUCAGAGCUCACCUGGGAAGGUGCAGGCAGCAGUUUGCUCUGUGUGUGGUUUAUGUGCUGCUGUAGCUAAACUGCUGGCAAACCACCUUUGCUCUGCCCUCAUACUCCACUUCAGCCACACCAGCAAAGUCCCACCCUUGUGUGUGUGUUCUUUCAGAGGGAGAGCUAUAAUUAUAGCUCGCAAAGUGAAAAUAUUUGUGUGUAUUGUAAAUAUGGUGCCGAGUCUGCUUUGUUCACGCCUGACACCAGGAGGUAUGGACGCUUAGCACAGUCCCUUUGCUGUGCCAUUCUGCCUGAGUGUUGCCCUCCCAGCAAGCAAAGAGGCAGUUUGGACAUGCAGCUCCUCUUUACAUGCUUUGCCAUGAACACGUGGAACCUGCAAGCUCUUCUCUAGGUAAAAGCCGAUUAAAAAUGAGCAAAGCAAUACUCUCUGAAGCCCUCGCUGUGGAUUUUGGACAGCAAGAGGUGUUCACUCUUAGUGAAGCGAAUGGUGGGAUUCUCUGGAUCAAACUUGAAUGAGUUUGUGGGUUUUUUAAAGGAGUUUUUAGCUAAAGUUGUGUCACUGAGGAAGAGUUGCAGGUGGCUGCUUGGCAUCCUCAGGAUCCCUUUUUGUUCCGGACGGUGUCGUAAGAAACAUGGCAGAUUUGAAAUGUCUCAUUCUUUUUAAUGUGCUCUGUAGGAGGAGUCUGGGAAUAGAGAGGUGUGUGUGAGAGAGUUUGAGCUCUUCUCACCCUGGGAUCACAGCAUAUUGCUCUGGGGCCAUUUCAAUUGUCAAACACAGAGCAUGGUGAGGGGAGGCAGCUGGAGCCGGGGAAGUUGGAGGGACCUCGAGUCUGUUCUUGACUCUGCAGUGUGAUGUGCAACCCUGUUGGGUCAGUUGUCCUCUUCCCCUCAGCUCUAGGCUUUUCUUUCCCUACCUCUUCGUGAGGAUAAAAGGUGAAGCUUGUUCACUUGUGAAAUUUUUAGACUUGGGUGGACUUAAUCCAAAACCAAGCGAUGGCUUUUUGACCGGGUUAGGAGAACUUCUUGUCUGAGAGUCACUUCUGAUUUUAGUUCUGGCUUUCUGGAAAACCUGCGUCUUAACAUUUUAAAUGGCAAAGAUUUGCCAUGUUUAAAUACGGAGUUUUUUAAAGUUUAGGGCUUAAAGAGUGAAUUCUUUUGUUGUUUCCUUUCUGUGAGUGCAAGUUGGAGCAGGCUGAAAGGUUUGCUGCUGCUUGCAAGCAUGGGAUGCUUCACUUCAUUACAGCUAAUGACCUUGCAUUGUGCUGAAUGCCAUUGAUCCUGCAUGUCAUUAUUUUGAUGCAGGAGAGCUCAGCCAGGCUGUGUCAGAGCAGUUGCUACGUUCAGUGAUACAAGUUCCCUACCUCAAAUCUAAGUAACGUGGUACCCAGCAGAAUAUUUAAGUGAAAUUAGCUGUAAGGUGAUGGUAUUCAAAAUGCAUUCUGAAAUUCUGAGUAAAUUCUUUCUCAGAUGGCCUUUUGAAAAGGAAAUGAAAGCAUGUGAAGUUCCUCUGCCCGUAGGAAAGGUACCGAACAGCACCUACGAUGAAGCUCCCAACUGCUGCCGCAGUGUCAGUGCUCCUCUGGGAACAGCCUCUUCACAUCUGGAAACUGCCAGUUCUGCAUGCAAAUAUUAGGAUGUAGUUUCUUUUUUCUGCAGGAAGCUUGUUUACACCUGCCACAGUCCUCCUCUUUGCUCUUCCUUUGCUCCUUUCGCUGGAGCUGCAGCAGUUGAGACUGCAGAAUGUCCUUUCAUUCCCCAGCAUCCUUGGUGUGGGACGGGGACGUGACUGCAAUAGAACAGCUGGGGAGGGCUGUGAGACCUGCUUGGAGAGCUUGGCCAGAUGUGGACAGCUCAAGGAGGAGAUGAUACAAUUCAGCUUGGGGAAGACUCAAGUGCAGUGGGUUAUUAUUUCUACUUCUGGUUUUUUGACUGUUCAUUUUGGGGUUUAGAGAGCAGCUCUUGGAACGCCUCCCUGCACGUACAGAUGCAAGUCCCCUCUCUGUUACUCUUAGCACUUGCUGCAGGGUUUGCCAGGCUUGUGCUUUCAGCCCUGCUGCAGGUGGUUAAACCAUGGUCUCCUGAGGGGUUGGACAUUCUCAGACCACUAAAACCACAAGUGGCUUUUUGGAGGUGACCCACGCAAUGCAUGAGCUGGUGGGUUCAUGCUGCAGCAGAAGAAUGCGGGGAAGCCAAGGCGAGGGGAGGUGCUAGGACAGGAGGAUUUGCAAAGCUGCUGUUGCAAGCGUUGUGCUCAGCCUGCUCUCUGGUGGUAGCUGCUGGAGCAGAGAUGACCUUUGAUGAAACGUGAAGCACUUGGUUUGAUUUGGAUAGUUGUGGUUGCUCAGCUUCAUACAGCUACAGUUUAGAGUUGUCAACUCAUCUGCUCUUGCUUUUGUUCCCUUAUCCCAUGCAAGAUUCACAGGUUAAAAAUCAUAUCACAGCAGCUUCAAAGCCAACAAAGCUUGUUUCUUCCCAGCAGCUCUGCUCACUGCAGGUUCUCCAGUGUCUGAUAAAGGCUGAGCUUUAUCGCUCUUUUCUUUCGGGCUGGGAAGACUAGUAUGAGAGCAGACAGAAGAGGCACCUGCUGGCACAAAAUGUGGAAGAAAUAAACAGCUUUGGGGUCUUCAGUCAAAUUUGGCUGAAAACAGCCAGCAGGAUCCAAAACUCUUGCUAGGACUGAGAUACAGAGAGGCACUUAAAGACCAUUUGAUUGUGAUCUCUUCUUACUGCCUCAGCUGGGCUGGAGCCUGCAGCAUGCAGGGCAGGCAGGAGAGCUCUGGCGGAGGUGGAGCAUCACUGCUGUGCUCUGGUCUGUGCUGGUGAACAUGGGGAUUCUCUUUCUUUAGAUCAGCUGGUGGCAACAGGCAAACUGUUUGUUUGGCUUUCUUGUGCGAAGCUGUUGUGAGGAAGGAGGUGCUUGGUAAAUCCUUCAAAGGAGGCAGGCCAGCCAUGCUUGGAGAGAGCCUGGGAGAGAUGGUUGUAAUGAGUGCUGCUGCUUUUCAGUCCUGAAAAUAGCCGAGGGGUGUUUGCUGUCGCAAGAGCGAUGGUGUUUGACACUUAUAGCUGGAAAGAAAAAAAGGAAGAAUGAGAGAAAUUGUUUUGGUUGUUGGGAUCCUGUCCUGUGUGUGCUGACAUCCCACUAGUAAAAGGUCAACUCCAUUUGUGUUUCCUAGAUCGACUGUCACUGUGUGGAUAUGUCUUCCAGCAGUAUUUGGUUGCUGUAUUUCUUAUCAGGAUUUGUUUUCACGAUACCUGAGGGAUGUGACAGUCAUACAUGUGGGAUCUUUGUGCUGGAGACACCUUCAGGACUGAAGUGCCUGUAGGACAUAGCACACAGGUGUGACCAUUUGCUGUUGAGGAUGGAGCUUUUCUGUUGGACAAGACCUAAUCAGGCAGCUUUGAGACUUCAGAGCAAGCACUUCUGUUGUAAUCCAUUUUCCAUCCCUUUGAGAGUGGAGCUAGGACAUCGUUUUAGCAUUUUAUGUAACUCUGUAUUUCUUGUUGCUAGUGAAGUAUUCAUUUUUGCCCAGAAACAUGAUAUAUGCUGUGUCUUUGAAUCCCAGUAUUUACGACUCUGAUGCUUAAAGGCAAUUUAAGGAGAUUUAAGGUUCUUUUUUUCCCAUGUGAAUUGCUGUGGUCUAGUCAAGACAACUUGUAGCAGCGACCACGUGGAAGUGUUGUCUUCCCACAAUUAGAGGUUAAGAGUUGACAGCAAAUGAGCCAGGGAUUAUAAUUAAAAACCAGGGUAAUUUGAGCAUGGUGAAAACUAAGGAAUAAAACCUCAUGGUGGAAUGCAGCUUGUCAGUAUGAGGACAGCAAAUAAGAGAUAAUGUAUCUUGCAGUGAAACACGUUUGGAUUGUGUGUGUUUUGCUGAGCAUGGGAGCAAUUCCCCCUAUUGCAUAGGAGCUGAGGGUUUUGUUCAGUUGGUACUGAUGCUCUUUUGGAAAGCUUUUACCUCUCUGUUUCCUGAGGUCUGACAUGGAAGAGAAAAGCUUCAGUAGGCACCAGCUGCUCAGUGGGCCCUUUCUUUUCAGAGCAA